AGGGCACCACCAGGAGUGGAGCCUGCGGCUUAAUUUGACUCAACACGGGAAAACUCACCCGGCCCGGACACUGGAAGGAUUGACAGAUUGAGAGCUCUUUCUUGAUUCAGUGGGUGGUGGUGCAUGGCCGUUCUUAGUUGGUGGAGUGAUUUGUCUGGUUAAUUCCGAUAACGAACGAGACUCUAGCCUACUAAAUAGAUCGUCGGCUUACAAACGCCGGCGAGACUUCUUAGAGGGACAGGCGGUGAUUCAACCGCACGAAACAGAGCAAUAACAGGUCUGUGAUGCCCUUAGAUGUCCGGGGCCGCACGCACGCUACACUGAAGUGAUCAGCGUGCUUUUUCAACCUACUCUGUCAAGAGUGGGGAACCCAAUGAACCUUCUUCGUGAUUGGGAUAGGGGAUUGUAAUUAUUCCCCUUGAACGAGGAAUUCCCAGUAAGCGCGAGUCAUAAGCUCGCGUUGAUUACGUCCCUGCCCUUUGUACACACCGCCCGUCGCUACUACCGAUUGAAUGUUUU
rnacentral:rRNA from 1 species